rnacentral:rRNA from 1 species
UACAGAGGGGGCAAGCGUUAUUCGGAAUUAUUGGGCGUAAAGGGCGCGUAGGCGGCUUUUCAAGUGACGGGUGAAAUCCCUCGGCUUAACCGAGGAACUGCCUGUCAGACUGGAAGGCUUGAGACCGGGAGAGGUGAGUGGAAUUCCCAGUGUAGCGGUGAAAUGCGUAGAUAUUGGGAGGAACACCAGUGGCGAAGGCGGCUCACUGGACCGGAACUGACGCUGAGGCGCGAAAGCGUGAGGAGCAAACAGG